ACCACCUCAAGGUUUUGUCCGUCAGCUUAGGUGAUCUUGAGACUAUCUUGAAGGGACACCUAUCUUCUAUGUCCUUUGUCUAGAAGAUAAGGGGACUCCCUCCCUUCCUAGUGGCCUGGACCCAGGACAGGUAAGCAGGGUUUUUAUGGGCACAGCCCUUGCCCAGAACUGCCUGCUCCAUCCCUGGCCCCUCCCAGCGCAGGCCCUCUUGGAGUGGGGUGCAGAUGUCCUGGCUUGUCUCCUUCAUUGUUCUGUUUUCUUCAGACCCAUGCCUAGUGAGGCUGAAUCCCCCAGAACCUACAGACUCAGCCCCUGAGCUGGUCCAACCAGUUGUACGGGAGGAGGGGGCACCUCCAAGCCAGAGCAGCCCAGCCCAGACAGAGCAGCUGGGGCCAUACUGCAGGCGGACCUGGAAGGAGGGACAGCAACCCAGCCAUGGGGCUCCAAGAGAGACGGUCUCUGCUGCUGAUGCCGCUGUUGCUGCUGGUCCAGUGUGGGGCAGGUCUGGAGAGCAUUGGCUAUGCCCCCCAGCUCUCCAGCGCCACCCUGUUGGGAAAGCUCACACAGUCCACCUUCACGCUGGAGCAGCCCCUGGGCCAGUUUGAGAAUGUCAGCCUUUCUGACCCAGACCCCAUCUGGCUGGUGGUGGCUCAUAGCAACGCCACCCAGUACUUUGCUGCCCCACAGAAGGUAGAGGACAUACAUGCUCCUGCCAGCUUUGACCACAACGGCUACUACCUCACACUGAGGACCAGCCGGGUACACUACCAGGGUGGCCAGUCUGGCAACCAGCUCCGAAUCCUCCGCGUUGGCAAUGAUACCAAGUGUUCCUUGAAGUCCCUGGGCUGUAACUCUCCUCUGCCAGGUGCUGGCCCCUACAGAGUGAAGUUCCUGGCCAUGAACGCCAAGGGUCCUGUGGCUGAGACGGAGUGGUCUGAGGAAAUCUACCUGCAGCAAGCCCAGACAUUCCCAGGAGCCCCAGGGUCCCGAAGCAAGAGUACUGUGAUCAUCAUCGUCUUCUCUUCAAUCUUGCUGGCGGUCUUCCUCGCCCUGCUCAUAUCCGCUAGGCCUGGUUUUCUCCGCGGUCGCCGCUUGCCCCCUGGCGGCAGUUUUCGGAGUUGCAAGCGAGUAGUCAGAAAACACUCCAAAAGUGAAGCCCUGCAGGUGGAAAGGUGAAUUGCGGUCAGGCUCAGCCCACUAAAAUCCUUGGCUUUGACAUCUCAGCCAGAGAGCUGAAGUACUGGGGGCUGGCACAAAAGUUCCCAGAAGAAAAGACAUUCAACGCCCGGAGGGACCUGGAGAGGCAUCUCUGUAUAGGAGAAGCAGAGGUUUCCGGGAGGUGUGUGGGCCCAGGCCAUUACUCCUGGAGACAGUUUGCCAGCAGCUGCUGGAACACUCCUGUAUCCAGCCCGGAGGAGCAAGUUCGCAUGAGACAAUAUCACACCCACCACAUGGACAGCCUUCGGGCCGAGCAGAGUUCCUGAGAGAUUCCAAGGGCUUUCUCCAGGGGCCAAGCGGCUGAACCUGGACUGGGGCCUGCUUGGAACCUUCUGGAACUCUAGGGGGAAACGCUUUCAAUCCAAAGCUUGGACUAGCCGGUUCUUAUCAGAAAUAAAUUUCCCUAAUACUUU